CAAGUCGAACGAUGAACCUUAGCUUGCUAAGGGGAUUAGUGGCGAACGGGUGAGUAAUAUAUCGGAACGUACCUUGUAAUGGGGGAUAACUAGUCGAAAGAUUAGCUAAUACCGCAUACGCCCUGAGGGGGAAAGUAGGGGAUCUUCGGACCUUACGUUAUAAGAGCGGCCGAUAUCUGAUUAGCUAGUUGGUGGGGUAAUGGCCUACCAAGGCGACGAUCAGUAGCUGGUCUGAGAGGACGACCAGCCACACUGGAACUGAGACACGGUCCAGACUCCUACGGGAGGCAGCAGUGGGGAAUUUUGGACAAUGGGCGCAAGCCUGAUCCAGCCAUUCCGCGUGAGUGAAGAAGGCCUUCGGGUUGUAAAGCUCUUUCGCAAGGGAAGAAAACUUACAUUCUAAUAAAGUGUGAGGCUGACGGUACCUUGAUAAGAAGCACCGGCUAACUACGUGCCAGCAGCCGCGGUAAUACGUAGGGUGCGAGCGUUAAUCGGAAUUACUGGGCGUAAAGCGUGCGCAGGCGGUUUUGUAAGUCAGAUGUGAAAUCCCCGAGCUCAACUUGGGAACUGCGUUUGAAACUACAAGACUAGAAUAUGUCAGAGGGGGGUAGAAUUCCACGUGUAGCAGUGAAAUGCGUAGAGAUGUGGAGGAAUACCAAUGGCGAAGGCAGCCCCCUGGGAUAAUAUUGACGCUCAUGCACGAAAGCGUGGGGAGCAAACAGGAUUAGAUACCCUGGUAGUCCACGCCCUAAACGAUGUCUACUAGUUGUUGGUGGAGUAAAAUCCAUGAGUAACGCAGCUAACGCGUGAAGUAGACCGCCUGGGGAGUACGGUCGCAAGAUUAAAACUCAAAGGAAUUGACGG
rnacentral:rRNA from 1 species